rnacentral:rRNA from 1 species
AGUCGAACGAGAAUCUACUGAAAGAGUUUUCGGACAAUGGAUGUAGAGGAAAGUGGCGGACGGGUGAGUAACGCGUGAGGAACCUGCCUUGAAGAGGGGGACAACAGUUGGAAACGACUGCUAAUACCGCAUGACGCAUAGAGGUCGCAUGAUCUUUAUGCCAAAGAUUUAUCGCUUCAAGAUGGCCUCGCGUCUGAUUAGCUGGUUGGCGGGGUAACGGCCCACCAAGGCGACGAUCAGUAGCCGGACUGAGAGGUUGAACGGCCACAUUGGGACUGAGAUACGGCCCAGACUCCUACGGGAGGCAGCAGUGGGGAAUAUUGGGCAAUGGGCGCAAGCCUGACCCAGCAACGCCGCGUGAAGGAAGAAGGCUUUCGGGUUGUAAACUUCUUUUAAGAGGGAAGAGCAGAAGACGGUACCUCUAGAAUAAGCCACGGCUAACUACGUGCCAGCAGCCGCGGUAAUACGUAGGUGGCAAGCGUUGUCCGGAUUCACUGGGUGUAAAGGGCGUGCAGCCGGGUCUGCAAGUCAGAUGUGAAAUCCAUGGGCUCAACCCAUGAACUGCAUUUGAAACUGUAGAUCUUGAGUGUCGGAGGGGCAAUCGGAAUUCCUAGUGUAGCGGUGAAAUGCGUAGAUAUUAGGAGGAACACCAGUGGCGAA